UCAGCCAUUUAAGUCUUACUAUAUAUACAUUUAUUUAAGCCUAACCCUACCCUCAUCGUGCUCAUCUCCUCCUCCUCCUUUCUGCCGAUUGUGGAGGUCUUAUCUGCUUCCUCCUUUCCAUUUUUUUUGUCUCCAGCAAGCCCUUGUAGACCCUUUCGAUUUCUUCCCCAUCUCUAGAUUUCUUUGAUUUAAAGCCUCUUUAUUUUUUUUUUGUUUAUUUAUGUAGCUUUCAAUAUCCUUUCCAUCGACCACCACUCUCCUCUCAUCUGCUUGUACUUUCUCUCCUAAUUGGCCAGCGCUCUUCUCUGUGAUUUUGGGAGUUCUUAUGGUAUCAAUAUCAGCAACAUUCUCCUUUCGCAUAAGCAAGUCACAGGUAGCAGAGAGUAGUUGAAGAUUUGCAGCACUCAAAGGAGCUAGCUGAAGAUGCAAUCCAAAGGCUAUUUGGCAGGCUGGAGUGAGCCACAAAAUCAAUCGUCUAGUUAGGUAUAUCAUUCUAGUAAAUUUGAGUUGUCUUUACAAUUUUAGAUCUCUAUAUAAAAUGUAUGAUUUUAGCAGUAAUUUUAAUGGUUUAAUUGUGAUUGUUUAGUCUAUAUUAAUGUAACUGAGUUGUAGAAAUAAUACUUAGUUGUUGGAUUUUGAAAGGGUUUUCAUUGAAAUUUUGAAAUUUAUUUAUGUAUUUCAUGAUUGAACAUGUUAGAAUAUUUGUUUAUUACAUUGUUAAAUCUCCUUCUCUCAUUUGUAAUUUUCGAUGCAAAGAGAGAUUUUGAUUUAUGUGUUGUUUGUAGAGGAAAAGAUAGGGAGAGGGAGAGAUUUUUUUUAUUAAUAAUUUUUUUAUCAGCAUUAAGUCCAAUUUUGAAAUAUUUUAUUACAGUAUCGAGUUGUAGAAAUAAUUCCGAUGCUCAUCUCCUUCAGCACAACAAAAUACCCAUCUCAUUCCCAGCAUAUGUUUGAGAAUAGCAUUUGCUAUUGAAUCCAUACUCAAAGCUUGUAAAUCAAAUUGUGUUGAUCUUAGUCCCAAGCUUCAGAUGGUUUCUUGACCUGCAUAUUUAAAUGGGUAGCUUGGAACUCAUAUCAAGAUCUUUACCAUUUGCUACUCCAAGCAUUUAAUGAGUUGAAGAGGCUCUCAAGAAAUGCAUUUGAAGCACUGAGGAGGGAGGCCAAUUUGAGCACUGUCCAUGGAUUCAACAAAGUUAAGCUUCUUGUUGUAACUUAAAGCUUGCUUGCUAUCAGUUCAGAUAUCUUGGGUUUUCAAUUGUACCAGGGUAAUUAGCAAAGCUGCUGGUUCAUAGUUAUUUCCUCUUGAAUCUUAGGUUUGGAUCUAUUCAGAAUCAUAGUUGUGUUCUGCAGUAGUUUUUUUGGGUCUUUGGUUAUGCUGCUUGAGUGGGAGCUUCUGCUACUAUUUAUAUUUUGGUUUGGUUUGGUUAUUUUUUAUUAUUAUUUUUUUUAAUUCAAUGGAGUUGGCAGUAA